rnacentral:rRNA from 1 species
UUGGAGGGCAAGUCUGGUGCCAGCAGCCGCGGUAAUUCCAGCUCCAAUAGCGUAUAUUAAAGUUGUUGCAGUUAAAAAGCUCGUAGUUGAAUUUYGGGAUCAAUAUUUCGGUCAUGCCGUUGGUAUGCACUGUUAUCAUUGAUUUCUCACCUUCUAAAGAWCCYURURWCCAUUAAUUUGGUGUUACGGGGAAUUAGGACUGUUACCUUGAAAAAAUUAGAGUGUUUAAAGCAGGCUCACGCUUGAAUACAUUAGCAUGGAAUAAUGAAAUAGGACAUCCGAUUCUAUUUUGUUGGUUUCUAGGAUCGAUGUAAUGAUUAAUAGGGAUAGUUGGGGGCAUUAGUAUUCAAUUGUCAGAGGUGAAAUUCUUGGAUUUAUUGAAGACUAACUACUGCGAAAGCAUUUGCCAAGGAUGUUUUCAUUAAUCAAGAACGAAAGUUAGGGGAUCGAAGACGAUCAGAUACSGUCGUAGUCUUAACCAUAAACUAUGCCGACUAGGKAUCGGARRRGKGUUAAUUUUUUAAUGACUCAUUCGGCGCCUUACGGGAAACAA